GGAUGCAGCCGGCGCUUGGCUUUUCCCUCCCGCGUCGCUCGGGAAGAACGGCUGCUCGAGUGUCUCCGCUUCCCCGGGUGAGCCAUUGAGGAGCUCUCGCCGCUGCUCCAGGGUGAGGGCGAUCCGAGCCGCCUCUGCUUUUCGCUCUAGUGGCUAAGUUGAAGACCUUCCAUGACGAUGAAGAAAGAGACCGCGUUUGCUGUUUCCACCUAAAAAAAAUGACCAAUAAGAACCAAAGUUUUGGUGUGGGACAGGACUCCAUGCCCUCCAUGACUUGUCUAAUCCACAUCCUUGAAGCGUGGUUUGGUGUGGAGCACUUGGAGGACUACUGGAAUUUUGCAAACUACCUCUUGUGGGUUUUCACACCACUCCUCCUUUUAAUACUCCCUUACUUCACCAUCUUUCUGCUCUACCUUACAAUAAUUUUCUUACACAUUUAUAAGAGGAAGAAUGUGCUAAAAGAAGCCUACUCCCAUAAUCUGUGGGAUGGCGCGAGGAAGACGGUGGCGACCCUGUGGGACGGACAUGCAGCUGUCUGGCAUGGUUAUGAAGUUCAUGGGAUGGAAAAAAUACCAGAAGAAGGACCAGCACUGAUCAUUUUUUAUCACGGAGCUAUUCCCAUAGAUUUUUACUACUUCAUGGCUAAAAUUUUUAUCCAUAAAGGCAGAACUUGCCGAGUAGUAGCGGAUCACUUUGUCUUUAAAAUUCCAGGGUUUAGCUUAUUACUUGAUGUAUUUUGUGCUAUUCAUGGACCAAGAGAAAAAUGUGUUGAAAUCCUGCAGAGUGGUCACUUGCUGGCUAUCUCACCAGGUGGCGUUCGGGAAGCACUGAUGAGUGACGAGACCUACAACAUUGUGUGGGGUAAUCGGAAAGGCUUCGCUCAGGUUGCAAUCGAUGCAAAAGUGAUGAGGAAACUCAGGCAGAGAGAGAUGGAGGGACCGAAGCAGAGCUUGCAGUUCAGGACGGCAGGCAGCCAGUGCGCUUCACACCCAUUAUUCCUAUGUUUACACAAAAUAUUCGAGAAGGAUUUAGAUCACUUGGAGGAACAAGGCUGUUUAGGUGGCUUUAUGAAAAGUUCCGCUAUCCAUUUGCCCCCAUGUACGGAGGUUUUCCUGUGAAGUUGCGCACGUACUUAGGUGAUCCCAUUCCAUACGACCCAAAGAUCACAGCAGAAGAACUAGCCGAAAAGACGAAGGAUGCUGUUCAAGCUCUGAUUGACAAGCACCAAAGAAUACCCGGAAACAUAAUGAGUGCUUUGCUAGAACGUUUUCGUAACAAACAAAAGAUCAACCAGAAGACUCUUUAAUACAUUUAUAUUAAUAUGUUUGUAUCUAUAGGACUGUAUUCUGAAUUUUGUAGGUUCUAUAAUUAGUAUUUUUUUUUAAAAAAUCAUGUCAAGAAGCAUCUUUCAUUGAACUUGUUUGCUUAAAAUUAUGUUGUCAAUUAUGUUUCUGCAAUCAGUUGUGUCAAAUUUAAACAGUAACUCACUACAUGCAUCAUAAUUCAGAAAAUGAUCAUGAUUCUUUUUAUAAUUUUCUAAUCAUGUAUCAUAAACAUAGAUCCUUAAAUCUAUGAUCUUCCCUAGUAGCUCAUCUGGUAAAGAAUCUGCCUGUAAUGCAGGAGACCCAGGUUUGAUCCCUGGGUCGGGAAGAUCCCCUGGAGAGGGGAAUGGCUACCCACUCCAUGCCUCAUAAUUUGGAAAAUGAUCAUGGUUCUUUUUAUAGUUGCCUAAUCAUGUAUCCUACACAUAGAUCCUUAAAGUUUAGUUUAUCAAUAAUAGCAGUGGAGGUAAACAAACAUUCCUAAAUAAUGCAUCUAGUUUCUGCAUCUCUUGCACUGAGCCAGUUUUGCAAGAUGGCUUAACCUAGGGUUUUAGUACAGAUGCUUAAGUUAGAGAAAAACAAGCUCUUUCCUCUGCUUCUCAUUCCUUUCAUGACCUUCAGCAAAUCACAUAUUUUUGUGCCUCAACAAUUCACUUUUUAAAAACAUGUUAAUCCUUUGGUGAGGAAUAUUGUUUUAACUCUUUAUAUUUGGUGUGAUUGAUAUCCAUAGUAUGGAAAUUAUGACUGUAUAAACUAAACAAUACCAAGAUCUUUUAGAAGUUUGUGUAUUUAUUUUGUCCAUAGGAUGUUUAAAUUAUUCCUUCAGGUAUGAUGUCAAGUUGCCAAGCAACAAUGAAAAAGAUGUACUGUUUUUCAAACUAAGUAAAACAGAAAUUAGGGAAAGUAAAAUUCCUAAUUAUUGUGGUUAUUCUUUUUAGUAUUAUAUUUUUAAUGAGAAUCUGUAGACAAACCAUAGAAGGUAUGCUCUGCGUCGUCUGCCCUGUAAUGUGGCAUUUAAUAGUGUCAGGUUAGAAAUCACAGUCAUGCCCUGCAUCUCGUACUUUAGAAGCUGACUCUAGGCUGAUGACAGCCCCGGGAGAAAGCUCUGCUUUUCUCAGCAUCCUGGUUCAUUCAGCUUGACUCUGCAUCCAGACGGAUGGUUUAUUGUUUCAAUAAAAAUAUACUUGAAUGAUGAAUUUAUGUGAACAUAGGGCUCUCUGAAAAAUUAAUGGGUUUCGAUUUGUUGUCUCUUUGAAAUCUGAAUUUAAAAGUAUUUAAACAGAAUACUGCCGGGAAUCAAAUGCAGUAUGUCCCUCUCCCUUUUUAAGAUAUUAAAUUACUUGGAUUUUUGUAUACACUUUUGUAUAACAAGUAUGUAUGUAUGAUAUGUGUAAUGUAUGUACAAUUAAGAAAAAUAAAAAAAGUAAAGCUGAA